UGUGAAAACGCCCUUUUAAUCCCCCUUAGGGAUAAGGAGCUGGUUUAGGCACGAAAAUCUGCCCAAAACACCUAGCUACGCCACACCCACAAGGGAAUUCAGCAGUAAUUAACAUUGAAUAUAAGCGCCAGCUUGAUUCAGUUAAAGUAAAUAGAGCCGGCAAAUCUGGUGCCAGCCGCCGCGGUUACCCCAAGUGGCUCAAAUUGAUUUCUAUCGGCGUAAAGCGUGAUUAAAGUUCUCAUCUCAUUGAAGUUAAACUAAAACUAAUCUGUGACACGCUUGUUUUUCAGAAAAUCAAAAACGAAAGUUACUUCAAUUUCAACAACUUGAAUACACCGACAGUCAGAAUACAAACUGGGAUUAGAUACCCCACUAUGCCUGACCGUAAACCUUAAAUUACACCUCAAUCGCCAGGGAACUACCGAGCAAAGCUUAAAACCCAAAGGACUUGACGGUACCCCAUAUCCACCUAGAGGAGCCUGUCCUAUAAUCGAUAAUCCACGUUUCACCUCACCACUUUUAGCUUUACAGCCUGUAUACCUCCGUUGUCAGCUUACCACGUGAGCGAAACUCAGUGAGCCUAAUGUCCCACACGUCUAUACCGUCAGGUCAAGGUGCAGU
rnacentral:rRNA from 1 species